rnacentral:rRNA from 1 species
CUGUGAACUGCGAAUGGCUCAUUAAAUCAGUUAUCGUUUAUUUGAUAGUACCUUACUACAUGGAUACCUGUGGUAAUUCUAGAGCUAAUACAUGCUGAAAACCUCGACUUCGGAAGGGGUGUAUUUAUUAGAUAAAAAACCAAUGCCCUUCGGGGCUCCUUGGUGAAUCAUAAUAACUUAACGAAUCGCAUGGCCUUGCGCCGGCGAUGGUUCAUUCAAAUUUCUGCCCUAUCAACUUUCGAUGGUAGGAUAGUGGCCUACCAUGGUGGCAACGGGUAACGGGGAAUUAGGGUUCGAUUCCGGAGAGGGAGCCUGAGAAACGGCUACCACAUCCAAGGAAGGCAGCAGGCGCGCAAAUUACCCAAUCCCGACACGGGGAGGUAGUGACAAUAAAUACUGAUACGGGGCUCUUUUGGGUCUCGUAAUUGGAAUGAGUACAAUUUAAAUCCCUUAACGAGGAACAAUUGGAGGGCAAGUCUGGUGCCAGCAGCCGCGGUAAUUCCAGCUCCAAUAGCGUAUAUUAAAGUUGUUGCAGUUAAAAAGCUCGUAGUUGAACCUUGGGUCUGGCUGGCCGGUCCGCCUCACCGCGAGUACUGGUCCGGCUGGACCUUUCCUUCUGGGGAACCUCAUGGCCUUCACUGGCUGUGGGGGGAACCAGGACUUUUACUGUGAAAAAAUUAGAGUGUUCAAAGCAGGCCUUUGCUCGAAUACAUUAGCAUGGAAUAAUAGAAUAGGACGUGUGGUUCUAUUUUGUUGGUUUCUAGGACCGCCGUAAUGAUUAAUAGGGAUAGUCGGGGGCGUCAGUAUUCAGCUGUCAGAGGUGAAAUUCUUGGAUUUGCUGAAGACUAACUACUGCGAAAGCAUUCGCCAAGGAUGUUUUCAUUAAUCAGGGAACGAAAGUUAGGGGAUCGAAGACGAUCAGAUACCGUCGUAGUCUUAACCAUAAACUAUGCCGACUAGGGAUCGGACGGUGUUUCUAUUAUGACCCGUUCGGCACCUUACGAGAAAUCAAAGUUU